UCAAAAUGUGGGGAAAGGGGGGAGAUAGUGCUCAGUUGGAAAAACCAACUGAGCUCCCCUUGUGGCACCUUGCUUUUGUCUUCAAGGUUCCAAGUUCAACUCUUGGUGGAAGAAGUUUUGUGAGCCUUUUCCUUGAAUUUUCUUGAGUGAGAGCCCGAUAAAAUAAAACUAAAUGAAACUGUUGUAUGUUAAAUACAAUCACCAAGCCAAGAAUCCUGUCAUGAAUAAUGAUUUCUUGGUGAUGUAUUAACAAAAACAGUUAAGUGGCAAACUAAAUAAAAGCAUUAAAAGCAAAAAAUUAACUAAAGUAAACAGAAUAACAAAAUACCAAACCAAAAUAAAAUUAUCACUGCAAAGACAUUAUGGUUAUGCAGACAAGUGGUGUUGUUGAAUGAUUUGCAUAGAAAAAUAGGUGGCACACCAAACUUAGAAUCUUGGUGUGUCACUUUCAUUUUUUGAUUUGUUGCAAUCAUCCAAAAAGAUUGAAAACAAUGUGUUGCAUGGCAACACCAAACUUAGAAUGUAACCAUAUGCCAAUUUAUUGAAUUUAAACAAAGCAAAGAAAGAAAACAAAGCAGAGAAGAGAAAUUAUACCUAUGGUUGGGUUACCUCCCAACAAGUGCUCUUUUAGUGUCAUUAGCUUGACAUGUUGUUCUUCACUCUCUUCCUCUUCUUCCAGUUUGUUAGGAGGUAUGACCUCAAAGGAGGAAAAGAUUCAGCUAGUGUCCCUUGUCUUGGCCUUUCCUCAGCAAGCUUUCUUUUGCAAAUGGCUUGAUUGAUCUUGCUUGCUGGAUUAGGGACAGAAUUGGUGUUCUUGCUAGUUGCCUUCACUUCUUUGGAUUCAAGACUUGGUUGCUGUGUGAUUAUUGGAGUUUUGUAUCCAUCCAGAGCCUUUUGAACUGGUGGUUCCAUGAACUCCUCCUUCAUGUACUUCUCUGCCUCACUUGAGUUUGGAAUGACUUCCUCACUUUCUUGCUCCUCCACUUCCUCUUUUACACUCAACAUUUGUUUUAAUAGCUCUUUCAUGGAGGAGGUUUGUUGAUCUUCCCAACAUUUCUUCAUCUCCUCUUCAUAUCUUUUAAUCUCAGAUUCAAUUGUUGAGACUUUUUGGUCCAGGGGGGUUUGAGGAGGUUGUGAGUGUUCAGGUUCUUUUGUCACCUCAAGUGCAGUUUCGUUUUCAACUAUUUUCACCACCUCUUUCUUUUUUACUAAAAAUUUACUUGACUCAGUAGCCUCUUCCUCUUGUUUUUCCUUCUUCUUCAUUGCACUCACCAGUUGGCCUAAUUGCGCUUCCAUGUUUUUGAGGGAGUUCUCUUGUUCUUUCUGGUAUUUCUCUUUCUCCUCCGCAAUUCUUUUGAGCAUGGACUCAAGAUUUGAGAGUCUUUGGUUCAUGGAAGUUUGUGUGGAGACAAAGUCCAGUGAUGAAGAAUUUUCAGAUGAAAAACUAGAAGGUGAGGUUGGAAAAUUUUGUAUAAGUGAAUUGAUAGUACGUUCGAGUGAAGAUGGCUCUUGAUAAGUGGAAUAUGGGCUCUCAAAUGUUUUCUGGUUUUGCUCCCCCCAACCAUCAUUAGAAUAGCAACUUGCAUCAUUUUGUGGUGGAGGAAGAUAUCCCAUAUGAUUUUCUUGCUCAUCUUGUGUCUCUGAAGCAAAUCUCCAUGAAUUGGAGUGCUCAGAAUGUGUAUUCUCGUGGUGAUAUUCCCAGCCAUCAUUAGAGAUUGGUGAUGGUGGGUAAUAUCCCAUAAAAUUUGUUUGAUCAUAAGAUGAGUUGUACUCCAUUUGAAUUUUGGAAAACACAACACCAAGGAAAAUUGAAAUUCAUAUCUCAGAGAUGAAUUUCUUAGUGAGGCAAUAACUCAAACACCUUGGUUUCAAUCUAAAACAGAAAACAAAAAUAUAAAAAAUGCUUGAUCUAGACUUCUCACCCACUUAAUCAUUGUUGAUCUAAAUCAAUCCCCGGCAACGGCGCCAAAAACUUGAUGGUAUUUUUGUGGAAAACUGAAUUUUCCAAAACAGCUCCCCUUUGAAAAUGGGAAUGAUGCCUUUAUAUAGGCUUUUACAAAAAUAAAAUGAAAUUGAAAUGAAAAACAAAUUAAAUGAAAAUCCUAAUUCUAGCUUGUUCUUGUGCCUUUGAGUGAUGAUGUGGGCUUUGCUUGCUUUGGAUCUGAGGAGAAAUGGGUUUGGUUGGCCUUGGUUGUGUGCCAAAAUUGUGCGCACAAGGCUUGCUUGGUGCCUUUGGUCCGUGUCAAAAUGUGGGGAAAGGGGGGAGAUAGUGCUCAGUUGGAAAAACCAACUGAGCUCCCCUUGUGGCACCUUGCUUUUGUCUUCAAGGUUCCAAGUUCAACUCUUGGUGGAAGAAGUUUUGUGAGCCUUUUCCUUGAAUUUUCUUGAGUGGGAGCCCGAUAAAGCUAAGUUAGAAAAGUGAACUGAGCACUAUUUUGCUCUUGCCUUGCUUUCUUUGUGUCUCCCCCUUCGAGCCUUGGUGAAGCCACUUUGGUUUAUUUUUGCUUGUUUUUAGUUCUUAAAGAUGCCUUUCACUCGUGCCUCAAUUUCAUGCCAAAUAUGGACUAUGAUACAUCGUUGGAAAGCU
rnacentral:lncRNA from 1 species